UAAAAUUAAGACGCGAACAAACACUAAUUAUUCACGUUUCAAAAAUAUGAUAUUUUUGAUAAAUAAAAACAAUAAUAUUAUAACUCAUAACAUUGAAAACUAAAAAAUAAAGCAAGUGUAAACACUAAAUCUUAAACAAUACAAACAAUUAUUAAAUAGAGUAACUCAUUCAAAAGACAUUAUUGAAGUUCCAAGAUCUCUAUCCAUAGCACAAAAUCAACGAUAGUAAAAAAAAUUCUUAAAAUAAAGUGAAGUACAAGCCUCUAGUACUUCAGUUCCACAAGAAAACCUCCAUUGAUUGCUUGUCUUGAUCAUGUUGAAUUUAACCUACAUACAAAUAUAUUAUAGAGGAGACAUAAGGAAGAUGCGAGUUUAUCUUUCAUUAUGUAAAAUGAAUAAAGUCAUACAUAGAUUAACAUAAUACAUAGAUUAAAAUACGUUCGUGAAUCAUAUGUAUAUGGAUAAACUUUCAAUGCCAAA
rnacentral:lncRNA from 1 species